rnacentral:tRNA from 1 species
GUCACGGUGGUCUAGCGGUCAGAACACUAGCCUUAUAAGCCUGGGGUCCCGGGUUCAACUCCCGGUGGUGCCC